UAACACAUGCAAGUCGAACGAUGACGAAACAGCUUGCUGUUUCUGAUUAGUGGCGGACGGGUGAGUAAUGUAUAGGGAUCUGCCUGACAGUGGGGGACAACAGCCGGAAACGGCUGCUAAUACCGCAUACGCUCUACGGAGGAAAGUGGGGGACCUUUCGGGGCCUCACGCUGACAGAUGAACCUAUAUCAGAUUAGCUAGUUGGUGGGGUAAUGGCUUACCAAGGCGACGAUCUGUAGCUGGUCUGAGAGGAUGAUCAGCCACACUGGGACUGAGACACGGCCCAGACUCCUACGGGAGGCAGCAGUGGGGAAUAUUGGACAAUGGGGGCAACCCUGAUCCAGCAAUGCCGCGUGUGUGAAGAAGGCCUUCGGGUUGUAAAGCACUUUCAAUAGGGAGGAAAAGUUAUGCGUUAAUAGCGUAUAGCCGUGACGUUACCUAUAGAAGAAGCACCGGCUAACUCCGUGCCAGCAGCCGCGGUAAUAAGGGCGAAUUC
rnacentral:rRNA from 1 species